AGUGUGACAUGUGGAACAGGGGUUGGUUUUGGCGUGCGACCGUUCGCAGCGAACAGUUGUAGUGUAUCCUUCGAAGGGGUGAAAAGUUGUUUUUCACACACUUUGGCACCGUACAAGCGAAGCGGCCUGUCGUUUUUUGAAUUUGAAUUUUUUAACAACAAUUGCCGUCGUUCAUAUAGUCCUCAUCGCUCUCUCUCUUUCACUCUCUCUCGCGCUGUCUACAUCUCGGUCAAAAUAUAUAAACAUACUCGUUUACUAUUUUUAUAAACAAAAAGAAAAAAAGUUCAAAUAUUAUUACAAAAACAAAAGCAACGCAAAAAAUUUGUUUGUUGUAACAUUUUUGUGAGCGUUUUGUGUUCAAAGUUCCAAGCUAAAAAUUGUUCUGUAGUGUUACUAAUGCCAGCAAAAUGAAAAUGAAGAAGAAAAUAUAAACAAAUAAAUAAUUUAGCUGAUGACACAUAGUGUUGAAGAUAAAACAACAAUAAAUAGUCUAUGGUGAAAUGGUGCAUAUCCAAACAAACAAAUAUACAAUAGUGAAAGUGCAUUUGAUUUCGUGUUUUUGGAAAAUUCAAACACAAAAACUGAAAAUGUUCGUCGCUUUAUGAAAACAGCAUAUAAAAAUUAAAACAGUUUACAAAUAAAAACAACAGCUUACUAAAAACAACAACAGUUUACAAAUCGAAGGAUAACACGCCACGGCAAACAAAAGUGCAAAGCAGCAAAUAGACUGCCAAAAAUUCUGAAAUUUAUUUAUAUUGAAUUCAAAAAAAUAUUUUUCUAGUUGGAAAACGCAUAAAAAAAGUGUAUAAGAAGUUCACAAGCCCAGUGCAAAGUUGUAUUCCCCUUCCCAUACCUUUUUUAAAUUUCCGUUAUUGUGUAUUUCGGUUUCCCAACUCAAUAAAUAUUAUAAUUCCCUUUAAGUAAAAAAAAAACAAGUUCGGUGCGUAAAGCGUUUAGAAACCAUAUAAAAACGCUUGGUUUAUGAAAAUUAUAAAAAUCAGACAGUGAACAACAAAUGGAUUAAGAAAGAAAUAAUAUCGCCAAGUCUUCAAUCAAAGAAUUACAAAACUUUAGUACUAUCAUUUCGAGAAAAUAAUCAAAAGCAACCAAAUCUUAAUUUAGUCCUACAAUUUAAGUUAUUUUUAAUUAAAUUAAAUCAAUAAAUCCUAACGAAAAUAGGUGUAUAAACAAACUAUACCAAAAACACAAGAAAUAUAGCGUAACUCUCAUAAUAAUUACAACAAUAAAGUAAAACAAUUUUGCGCGCUUAAGUGGAAAUUUUUGAAAUUUUCGCACGAAAAUUCAACAAAACUAAAUUAAAAAAAAAAAUAAUAAUUCUAAGCAUAAUUUAGCAUAACGUAUUAAAAGCAAUUAAGCAAAGCAAACAAACCAGUGGAAGACAAAUUUUUUAAUUUAAAACAAAUACUUAAAAUUAAAUUAAAACAAAUACAAAUACAUAUAGCCAACAACAAAAACAACAAUACAAAUAAACACAAAUAACUUAAGUAGCAGCAAAUACACAAAGAAAUAGCAAAAGUAAAAAAAUAAACAAAAACAAAACGAACAACUUUCGAUUUAUAUUUUUUCAAUAAUACCACGUUACAAAUCCCCGUUACAAAACCGACAAGCAAGUUAAACCAAAAAGUACAAAAAUUCACAACAAAUUUCGCAACGCAAUAGCCGCAAUUAAACAAAUAUAGAAAAAACAACAACAACAACAACUUAUAUAUAAUAUAAUCGAAUAUAUUGUAAAAUACUUACAAGUUUAUUAAAUGAAAUUCAACAAAUUGUUAGUAGUAAAAUUUAACGAAAACAAAUUUACAAAAUUUUGAAAAGUCUGAAAUAUAACCAAAUAAUAAUUAAUUAAUACGUAUAAAAAUCUUAGAUAUAUUGUAUUGUAAAAAAAAACUUUAUUUUUUUUAAAUAAAAAGUUUAAAAAAAUAUAAAUUUUUUUUAAACAAAAAUAAAAAAUUACAAAGAAUUUUUAAAAAUAAAAUUACAAAAUUUGUUUUAAAAUAAAAUUUAAAAAAAUUACAUAAAAAAUUGUGAAAAUAAAAAUUACAAAAUUUUUCAUACUCAAAAACACUUAACGCUAUUCAAAGACAGUGCAAAAAAAUUUAAAUAUUGCAUUUCCCACGCAAAUACAGUGAAACGCAAGCAAGUCGUAAAUAAGUAAACAUAUUACAACAACAAAUACAAAUUUUAAAUAGCAAUUGCAGUUUAUACAAAAAAACAAAAAUUAAUUAAAACCCCACAAAUAUACAAGCAUACAAAGCAAAUUCGUUUAAUAAGCUACCAACAACAACAAAUAAAUCAAUAAACCAAAAUAAAAAUAAAACGUAAAACAAAAAUGCAAAAUAUCUUACAAAUCUUCAAAGUACAAAGGCGCGCUUAGAUUUUUGCGCACAUUGCAACACUUAUACAUACACAGCAACGUAGCUGCAUAACGGCAUAAAACCGUAAGCAUUUUCGUAUUGUCGCACUUCAAUUAGUUAAAAGCAAAAUAAUUUAGCAACAAUAUCAAUAAGAAUUAAUAUAAAAAAUAACAACAACAACAACAACAACAAAAUACCAAUAAGAAUUUAUAUUUAAAAAAAUCAAAACAACAACAAUAAAAAGCAAGUACACACUUAAAUCAAUCACGAACAACUUGUACAAAUAUCAGUAAAAUAUAGCGAAAAACAACAACAACAACAACCAAUACAUUUACAAAGUAGCAAAGUAGAAAUAUUCAAACACAGCGAGAAGCGUUUACAUAAUCACUUUAAAACCAAUAACAAUUAAUAGUUAAAAAACCAUAAAUAAUUAAUCCAAAUAAAUACAUGCAUACAUACUUACAUACAAGCAACCCAGCCAGUGAGCAAAAGUUCAAAUUGUUUAGUGAAAAAAAUUCAAAAAAAAAAAAUAAAUAAAUAACCAACGCG